UACAGAGGUCUCAAGCGUUGUUCGGAUUCAUUGGGCGUAAAGGGUGCGUAGGCGGCGCGGUAAGUCGGGUGUGAAAUUUCGAGGCUUAACUUCGAAACUGCAUUCGAUACUGCCGUGCUAGAGGACUGGAGAGGAGACUGGAAUUUACGGUGUAGCGGUGAAAUGCGUAGAUAUCAGGAGGAACACCGGUGGCGAAGGCGGGUCUCUGGGCCGUAACUGACGCUGAGGAGCGAAAGCAUGGGGAGCGAACAGG
rnacentral:rRNA from 1 species